rnacentral:rRNA from 1 species
GCUUGCUGGUAUGAUUAGUGGCGAACGGGUGAGUAAUGCUUAGGAAUCUGCCUAUUAGUGGGGGACAACAUUCCGAAAGGAAUGCUAAUACCGCAUACGUCCUAUGGGAGAAAGCAGGGGAUCGCAAGACCUUGCGCUAAUAGAUGAGCCUAAGUCGGAUUAGCUAGUUGGUGGGGUAAAGGCCUACCAAGGCGACGAUCUGUAGCUGGCCUGAGAGGAUGAUCAGCCACACUGGGACUGAGACACGGCCCAGACUCCUACGGGAGGCAGCAGUGGGGAAUAUUGGACAAUGGGCGAAAGCCUGAUCCAGCCAUGCCGCGUGUGUGAAGAAGGCCUUUUGGUUGUAAAGCACUUUAAGUGGGGAGGAAAAGCUAAUAAUUAAUACCUAUUAGCCCUGACGUUACCCACAGAAUAAGCACCGGCUAACUCUGUGCCAGCAGCCGCGGUAAUACAGAGGGUGCAAGCGCUAAUCGGAAUUACUGGGCGUAAAGCGAGCGUAGGUGGUCAUUUAAGUCAGAUGUGAAAUCCCCGGGCUUAACCUGGGAACUGCAUCUGAUACUGGGUGACUAGAGUAGGUGAGAGGGAAGUAGAAUUCCAGGUGUAGCGGUGAAAUGCGUAGAGAUCUGGAGGAAUACCGAUGGCGAAGGCAGCUUCCUGGCAUCAUACUGACACUGAGGUUCGAAAGCGUGGGUAGCAAACAGGAUUAGAUACCCUGGUAGUCCACGCCGUAAACGAUGUCUACCAGUCGUUGGGUCUCUUGAAGACUUAGUGACGCAGUUAACGCGAUAAGUAGACCGCCUGGGGAGUACGGCCGCAAGGUUAAAACUCAAAUGAAUUGACGGGGGCCCGCACAAGCGGUGGAGCAUGUGGUUUAAUUCGAUGCAACGCGAAGAA